UAACCACGAUUCGACUGACGCAUAUCACCUAUAUACGUAUGAUAUAUAUAUAUAUACAUAGACAUAAUUACGAUCGGACAAACAACACACGUCGCUAUAGGCGCGGCUAAUUAAGCACUCGUACGAGAGAAAGUGCAUUGUGUUAUGCGCGUGGCCCUACGACGACGUGCACCCUGCGACGUGCACGCGAGCUCGACCUCUGACAAAAGAAAGGAAAAUAAAAAAAAAAGAAAAGAAAA
rnacentral:lncRNA from 1 species